CAGGUCGAUGACGGGGGUUUCGUGGUUCUCGCUGCAGGCGCGGAGCAGGGCGAGCUUACUCGCGUUCUCGGUGGUGCGCGACCAUGCGAUCUUG
rnacentral:tRNA from 1 species